ACUGAAUUAAAUGAAUUUAAUCAUUAUGCUGCCUCCCUUUCUUGGCGUAAUGACAAACGAAUUGCUGUGUGUAGUCUUUGCCUGUCAGCCCAUGAUAGGCUUUUUUUUUG
rnacentral:other from 2 species